rnacentral:rRNA from 1 species
UGGGGAAUUUUGCACAAUGGGGGAAACCCUGAUGCAGCGACGCCGCGUGAUUUAGAAGGCCUUCGGGUUGUAAAAAUCUUUUUUACGGGAUGAAAAUGACAGUACCGUAAGAAUAAGGUCCGGCUAAAUACGUGCCAGCAGCCGCGGUAAUACGUAUGGACCGAGCGUUGUCCGGAAUCAUUGGGCGUAAAGGGUACGUAGGCGGCCUAGUAAGUUAGAAGUGAAAUAAUAUAGCUCAACUAUAUAAAGCUUUUUAAACUGCUAGGCUUGAGAGAUGGAAGGGAAAGUGGAAUUCCUAGUGUAGCGGUGAAAUGCGCAGAUAUUAGGAAGAAUACCGGUGGCGAAGGCGACUUUCUGGUCAUCAUCUGACGCUGAGGUACGAAAGCGUGGGUAGCAAACAGG